rnacentral:rRNA from 1 species
AUUGAACGCUGGCGGCAUGCCUUACACAUGCAAGUCGAACGGUAACGGGCCUUCGGGUGCCGACGAGUGGCGAACAGGUGAGUAAUGUAUCGGAACGUACCUUUCAGUGGGGGAUAACGUAGCGAAAGUUACGCUAAUACCGCAUAUUCUGUGCGCAGGAAAGCAGGGGACCUUCGGGCCUUGCGCUGAUUGAGCGGCCGAUAUCAGAUUAGCUAGUUGGUGAGGUAAAGGCUCACCAAGGCGACGAUCUGUAGCGGGUCUGAGAGGAUGAUCCGCCACACUGGAACUGAGACACGGUCCAGACUCCUACGGGAGGCAGCAGUGGGGAAUUUUGGACAAUGGGGGCAACCCUGAUCCAGCCAUGCCGCGUGAGUGAAGAAGGCCUUCGGGUUGUAAAGCUCUUUCGGCCGGGAAGAAAUCGUAUCAGCUAAUACCUGGUGCGGAUGACGGUACCGGCAUAAGAAGCACCGGCUAACUACGUGCCAGCCGCCGCAGUAAAAC